rnacentral:rRNA from 1 species
CCAAACUGUUGCCUCGGCGGGAUCUCUGCCCCGGGUGCGUCGCAGCCCCGGACCAAGGCGCCCGCCGGAGGACCAACCAAAACUCUUUUUGUAUACCCCCUCGCGGGUUUUUUUAUAAUCUGAGCCUUCUCGGCGCCUCUCGUAGGCGUUUCGAAAAUGAAUCAAAACUUUCAACAACGGAUCUCUUGGUUCUGGCAUCGAUGAAGAACGCAGCGAAAUGCGAUAAGUAAUGUGAAUUGCAGAAUUCAGUGAAUCAUCGAAUCUUUGAACGCACAUUGCGCCCGCCAGUAUUCUGGCGGGCAUGCCUGUCCGAGCGUCAUUUCAACCCUCGAACCCCUCCGGGGGGUCGGCGUUGGGGAUCGGCCCUGCCUUGGCGGUGGCCGUCUCCGAAAUACAGUGGCGGUCUCGCCGCAGCCUCUCCUGCGCAGUAGUUUGCACACUCGCAUCGGGAGCGCGGCGCGUCCACAGCCGUUAAACACCCAACUUCUGAAAUGUUGACCUCGGAUCAGGUAGGAAUACCCGCUGAACUUAAGCAUAUCAAUAAGCGGAGGAA